CAGUCACAUCACGUUGAAACGCCGGUUCCUGUACGAUCACCGAAGUUAAGCAACGUCAAGCCAGAUCACUACCUUAAUGAGUAACCGCUUGAGAAUAUCAGAUGUUGUAAU